GUUUAUCCAGCCAACUUCAUUCUAAACUGUAUUCGUAUUAUAUAUUUUGACACUUGGCAUUUCACGAUUUAUUUAUAAAAAAAAUUCGUUUGAUUCUGUGUGCGAUUGUAUUUUUCUUGCGUGAUAAUAAAGAUGCAAGACCAAAAGGAACAUUUUCGGUAUAUUUUACUUUUUUAUUAUCAAAAAGAAGAUUAACAAAUUUGAAGUUAAUAUAUUCACCAUAUUGAUGACAUACACUGAUGAAUCAAAUAGAGAGUGGAGACUUGGCAAGAAGUGGUGGGUGGCGACAGUGGGAAGAAGUAGAAGAAAAGGUGAGGAACAGGAAAAUAUUGCACGAGGCAACAGGCGUGAAAUUAUUCGCAGGCCGGAAUAGAUCAGAAACAGAAGGAUUGCGGGACGGUUGCUGGAAAAUAAAGGAAAAUGGUGACCGACCGGCCGUUUAUCGAUUAACAAUAAGGAAUUUUACAAAGGGAUAAUAGGGGAUCGUGAAAGAGAAUUAAAUAUUCCUAUAUACAAGAUGUCCCAGUUCUUUCUCUCUUUGUCAAAACUUUAUCGACGUCUCCAAGUGUGAAUAAGAAGAGGAUAGAGGAUGCAUUCUUAUUUAAAAAUCUAGAAGAAUCUAGUCUAUCAACAGCUACUUAAUCCUUUUUUCAGACCUUUUUUUAUAAUAAAUCUAAAUGCAAUUAAGAGCAAUAUUAAGAUAAAUCAAUCUUCUCGCGCACCUACGUAGAAAAUUACAAAACUUUAAAUGAAGUUCGUCGAGAUCGUUAAAGCUGACUUCCUUUUUUUAUACACCGGAUGUUUUUAUUUACAUAAAGUUAACGAAUAAUAAAUACUAGGAGAUCUAGAAAGUGGAUUAAUGGAAUAUGUAAGAACAUCAUAGACGAAAAGACACGAUGUUUCUUUUGCAAAGUUAGUUUUUACUCACGUUAUGAUCAUUUUAUUUACUUUGCACGUACUAUACUAUAUUACGUUGUUCAAAACUUUCUUUUUUAUUCUCCCUUGUCACAACGCAAUUUUCAUUUUAACUUAAAUAAUUCUAUCAGUUGAAUGUGUCAACCGGAAAAUUCUUAUAAUGAAUUUCGAAACUUUUUCCAUUGUUCAUCGUCCCCUUUUUAAAUAUCGAGUGGCUGCUUUUAACUAUAUCGUGUUAUAAAGUUUCUUUAUCUAUUAUUCGUUUCUUUUUUUUUUCUAUUUCUUUUUUGAACUAAUUCAUUUACACAAAAUUAAUUUAUAUCGCUCGCUUCAAUUUUUUUUUUUUUGAACAAUACAUUUAUUUCGCGUCAAUAGAUGCAAUUUGUUUCAAUAAAUUGCAAUCCAUUGUACACUUUUCACGCGUUACAUCGAACGAUCAUACCUUAAAUAUAUCGAAUAGUAUGAAAAAAUUUUACGAAAAAUUUCAAUAACUGCGAACAAUCGUAACGAACUUAUCGAAUCUGUUACGUAAGAGAGAAAUAAUAAAAUAAUAAAAUAAAAAGUAGAAAAAAAUAAACAGUAACGAUGGGAAAAUGAUUCAUCGUUGAUCGUUAUACGUGAUAUUCGUUUCGCGUAAUCUUAAAAUUGAAGCUCGCGAAAAGUACCUGGCCGGCCACUUCAUUAACACUAUUGAAUCUCUAAAGUUAACUUUAGCUUUACUUCAUUUACUUAGUGAAUCAGUGAAAUUUCCCUCCUAUUUGCCUUUUUUUCUCGAAUCGUUUAUCAUCUUUUCUGAUUCAUUAAUAACGAACGAAAAAAAUAAUAAUCGAACAAACGAGUGGAUGAAUUAUUAUUCAUUUCGCCAUAAAUUCACGUUCAAUUAAAUAACGUUUAAAUUUUUAAGUCCUUUCGACUUUUAAAUUUUUAAGUUCAAAUCGAUGUAAGUCAGAUUGAUUUCUAUCUAUAACAAAAUAAAUAUUAAUUGUACGAAAGGAUUUUAAUUUGUAAAUUAUUUAUAUAUAAAAAUUAAUCAAUAAAUUAAAUAUUAUUUUAACAUAUAACCGCAUUAAAUUUAGAAUUUAAUUAUAUUAAUGUAUAUUAAUAAAUAAUAAUUCGAAUUUUUAAUUAAUUUAUUAAUUGUAAUAAUUUUAUACCAUUUUUAACAUUAUUAGAACGUAAAAUUUUAGGUUAUGUUCAAGAUCGAUAAACGUUGUUGCAUGCUUUAUCUAUAUUUAAAAUUUAAGAAUUUUGAGUCAAAUCAAGAAUAAUAAUCGAAAGAUAAUCUUCAAAAUUUUGAUUCAGUUCUCUCUGAAUAUUUCAUUUCAUUGUCAGAUAGAU